GGUUAAAAACAAAGGCUAAGGUUCCAGGAAAUGGAUCAAGGACAGAAAACCAAAGAACUCUUGUCUGGAUAAGAACAUUGCCUCCCCUUCACUCUGAUGUAAUUGACACUAUGAAGAACUUAAGCUGCCACCUUAUUCUAUUGUCUUUUCUCCCAAGCUGAGCUUCCAAGGUCCUGAGCUGGUCCUCUUGUUGGCCUGUGGUACUAAAUGUGAAGAUAAGUCUGAGAAUGAAGGGGCACCCCAUGAUCAAGACAUGUGUCCUGACUCCAUCUCCUGGUAUAAAUAAGGAAGACAUGGAGUUUCAUGUCACGUGGAGGAGUAUCCUGAUUCAGGACUGUGGCAUGCAAUCAUCUAGCUCACUUUUCUGUCCACCCGCCUGAUAGGUUUAUAUAUUUGUGAUGUUUCCCUACCUUUUUUUCUUCAUAUAAAAUGAUUUGCCACAAAUUGGGAGAAGAACUUGAAAUGUGGAAGAACUAUUAGACCCAUUUCAUUGGACUUCAGAAGGUCAAAGCAAGAUCAAUCGGAAUUAGCAAAGAAGUAAAUUUAGGCUUA